GACAGAGGGUGCAAACGUUGUUCGGAAUUACUGGGCGUAAAGCGCGUGUAGGCGGCUUGGCAAGUCGGGUGUGAAAGCCCUGGGCUCAACCUAGGAAGUGCACUCGAAACUGCUUCGCUUGAGUGUCGGAGAGGAAAGCGGAAUUCUCGGUGUAGAGGUGAAAUUCGUAGAUAUCGAGAGGAACACCGGUGGCGAAGGCGGCUUCCUGGACCGACACUGACGCUGAGGCGCGAAAGCUAGGGGAGCAAACGGG
rnacentral:rRNA from 1 species